CAUCCUCACGAUACUGAGCCGCAGUCAUAUUACACCGGUUUUAAAAUCACUGCAUUGGCUCCCCGUGUCUUUUAGGAUCGAUUUUAAGGUUCUUUUAAUGGUUUUUAAAUGUCUUAAUGGUCUUGGCCCUUCUUAUCUUUCAGAAUUGCUUUUACCAUAUGAGCCCUCACGCUCUCUGCGCUCCUCUGGCAGCAGA